rnacentral:ncRNA from 1 species
GGCAGAGUUUGAGCGCCAGGGCCUUAAAAAGUUUUUGCUUAAUUUAAGGUCGACGAGGAAGAGGGUUAUCGAACAUUCGGCGGAUCCCUCUCGGUGGCUUGUCACCGUAAAGCUUGCUGAAAGCCGGAGAGUAAUUUCCGGGACAAAGAGUUAGCUGACAAGACA